UCACGGCACUGGGGCAACCCGCCGGAACAGAAUGAUACCCAAUUCGACACCCGGGAUGACUGGACAACAUAUGGGCAAACUGAGACCUGACACGGUAGGUGGCGAGGACAGACGGCCGCCUUCCUGCCAACCGCAAGCAGCAAUAAAAGAGAAAACCAUGCACCCCUCCUCCCCCAUGGGGGACAUCCCGGUACUCACCAGAAGGAGAGCCGCGGGCCCUAGACCCCGCAUCUAAGCUUGCGACUUACUCAAACAAAGAGGGACCCUGGA